UAGAAGUUUCAAAUCUAGAGUUUGCCUUUCUUUGGCUUUCCCCGAGUUUUCCUGCGAUUUCCGCCGGAAGCCAGAGUUUCCCUCUGAUUCCUUUUGAUUUUUCAAUUAUAGACAUAUACAAAGUCUCAAUGAUAUAUGAAGAACUUUGAUUAAAAAGUAUGAAUUAUUCGCGUCAUGGACUUCACGUGAGAAGUUGUGACUGUAUAAAACGAAAAAGAGAUUCCGUACAACUGCAAUUAUGAAUUAAAAAAUCUCAGAGUCCGACGUCCUUGAGCCGUUCAUCAAAAAGAGGCAAACCACAUGCCCGAGAGGUGAGAAAACAGUUAUUCUCGAUUAGUUCGACUGCAUUCCGGUGUGAGGCAGCCUAAUUGUGCAGUUAAGAUACUCAACCAAUUUUUGUCAGGAAGAAAUGUGAAUGGGGCUAGCUCGCUGAUCCAUCGUGGAAAAUUAAUUCGAUCCGACAAUAAUUUAGGCAAGGAAGAAUUUAUAUUGGAGUCACACAUCCAUGAAAAUAAUACAAUAUUAAUUGUCCGUGGCUUCAGUAUUUGGGUUUGAUAAUAAUGUCAACAACGUAUUGUAUGGAGUCAAUUUUUCUCUUUGAAUACUUGAAAUUCCACACCUAGUGUCAAACUUUAAAAAAUAUAGCUUUUUUUUCUCUAUCUCCAUAAUCUAUAUAAAAAAAAAUAACUUACUAAAAUUCCAAGUGCCUGCCUCAACUGAUUUCUGACCUAGCUUAUAACAUUAACAUUAACGCCUGCAAUAAUGAGAUUUAUAAUUUCAAUUUUAAACGCGUUUUUUAAAUCAAAUUCUUCGAAGCUCUAUCAAUUUGUUGAACUUCAAUUUCUUCUCACAAUUCUGGCGAUUAUAUAAACAAUAUUUUCU